UGGUUUUUUUUUUUGUUUUGUUUUGUUUUUUUUUUUUGAGGAAAAACUUUAUCUGGAAUGCAAGACUGAUUUUAUUAUGUAAGGCAGGUUUCCUUCCAGGGGCUCGGGGAUGAGGAUUAACUGCUGCUCCUGAGCACUCUUGCAGAGGAGCUGAACAGUUCUGCUGACUGCGAGGAUCUGUUAGGAAAGGCUUUAAACCCACCCAAAGAACCUACAGGUCCCUAAUAAAGGCUGAAUGUUUAUUUUGGUGGCUAUUUUUCAUCUCGGCAUGAACAUUCAGCCUGUGCACAGAGGAAAACCGUUGCAGCAGCUUCUGUUGAGCUUUCCUCAUGCGAGCAGACUGUUGGAGAGAUACCCAAAAUCUCAGAUUUACUCCACCAGGGGCUUUCAGCUUUUUCUCUUUUUCUGAGCUGUCUGUGCCUUACUCAUACUGGAUCUUCCAGGCUUCCCUCUGUACCUCGCUGAGCAUUUAAUCCUUUCUUCUCAGGCCCCUGGUCCCUCCUGCCUGCGUUUUCAGCUCUGCUCUGGUUCCUUCAGCCACAGCUUGAUGCUCUGGGUGGUUUUGCUUCAUGAGCAGAAGACCUGCGAAAGCUUUUUAGACCUCAGAUGGUUUUUUAUCUGCAUCAGAGCCGGAGGCAUUGAUCAAUAAGUCCUCUCUUUAGAUUCUGAGACCGCACCAAGGAUGUUUUUGUGCGAGCAGGAUGCUAACUUGGGCGUCAGUGCCUGGGUCUGCAGGGAGGGAGGGGAGGCACCCGCCCUUUGUGGGGUCACAGAGGGUUUGGGGCGUGAUGCCAGGAAAUCAGUUCAGCUGUGCUGAGAGCUGAACCCCUGUGGAACAAAGUUCCAAGAGCUCCAGGCUCUCCCAUUCCGGCAGCAGUAGCCAGGAGUUCCCAUAGUGUGGCAGCAGAGCCGUGUGCGUGGAGCCGUCAGCGAGGAGUUGGACAGAAAAAGGGGGAGAAACCCUCUGCCCCCAAUUCAGCCUGCCCAGAAAUGCCCUUCCAAACCCAGCACAGCGCCUGGGGUGCCCUCAGGGAAGGAGGCAGGAGCAGGAGGGCCUGGCCAAGGUCACCCAGCAGGGGCAGCCUGGAUGUCACUCCUGCGUCAUUCCCAGCACGGGAAUGUGAUGCUGCAGCUCCUGAGGUGGUUUUUGAGAAGCCUUCGUGCUGCAGAUGAGGUUGGAGCUGUGUCUGUGCAAAGGCAUUUCACAGUGGUUACACUGGAACAGAACAAUUCCUGCAUCCAUUUAUCAAAAUGUCUGCGAUUGCCAUUUCCAGACAGAUAAAACAACGGCGAAUCUCAAAUAAAGGUGUCUUUGUCCAGAACACUUUAACACAAAAGGAAGGCAAGAUUUGUUCCUCUGACCUCUGGAAUGGGAAGUCUCUUCUGUGCUGGUGAAAUGGCUUUAUUUGGGUUUCAUCCACCUGCCUUGGUGACACCUCCAUUUGUUUGAGUGCAGCAUUUUGCCUGGCCCUCGGCUGUCACUUCAGUGCAGACGGGCACAGACUGAUAAUCCCGGCCCCAGCUGCAUUAGAAGGUGAAAAAAAGGCUGGACUAGCCAAGAAAGAUGAGUUAAUCACAGGCAGAGAAUUAACCACAACUGGGGAUUUGCUGCUUCAGUGCUCUCCUGUUAUUUGCACACUCCCUGACUUGCAGGAGUUGUUGGAGCCCAGCCCUGCUGCCUCCCAUGGCUGGGGGACCCAGCAGGGUGUGAGCCUCUCUCCCUCUGCUUCCCUUCCCCAUCCCUGCACAGGGAUAAACAGAAUUUGCAAAAUCAUUUCCAGAUUUAUUCUGCAGGGAGGGAUCUUGGGAUGUUUGUGAGGAGCUUUCAGCAGGUACGAAUUGCACGGGGUUGAUUAACUGCUCAACUUUUAUGUGCUCUUGGUUCUCUCCCUUGAUUGCGUGGAGUGAGUUCAACCAUUUCAUCUACAAUUUGGGAUUAAUUGUGAAUGACAUUUUGAGGUGAAAGUUGCCUGUCUGCUACUGAACUUUAGGUAGGAUUGUCAAAAAAAAGUCAGGAAUAAAACCAGCUGCAGUUUGUGUUGCAGGGAGGAUUUGCACAGCUCCUAUAAUUCGUACAGAAUUGCCUUUACACUUUUUAUACCUUUAGAUCCAUGUUUUAUGCAAAGACUGCAGCUUUUCAAAGCAAAGUGCACUCACCAGAGAUGGGAAGGUGGGAGGUGUGCACUGAGAAUUUGCCAGAUGCAUCAGGGAAUUGGAUCCUGGGCUUUAGAAAAGCAGGAUAUUGGCAGAGAGGAUGGUCUGGACCUUCUGAUUUUAACCUGCCACACACUCUGCCUUUGAAGGAGUUGCUUAAAUUAUGUGAGCUCCAGCUUCUUGUCUGUGGAGGGGGAAAAGUAGUGCUGUACUAAUAGUAUUAUCUAAUUAAUUAUAAAGAUGAAUGCCUGCAGGAUGGCAGAGAUCAAAUGGAGAACUUGUUCCCUUGUUACGGUUCCUGUUAUUUAUCAGCAGUUUAUCAAUAUUUUGUUUAGUUAAUUUAGUGAAAGCA